ensembl:snoRNA
CUCAGGAAAGAACUUAGUCUUGCUUAUUGGCAAGGCCAUCCCCAUUUAGUUGGUAUCAGAUUCUGAUUUGCACAUGUAACAGUC